rnacentral:lncRNA from 1 species
AGCGAGGGGAUCUGGGUUAGCUUGUUCCCCGAGAGUAAACAGUGAGUCAGCAGUAAGCAGUGAGUCAGCAGUAAUAGGUAGAUGAGCUUAUAACGCCAAAGACUGUAAAAGUACAGAGGCAUAGGAGGAGGCAGAGGACUAACGUAAGGCAUAGGACUAGGCAGAGGCAGAAAGGCCGGUUCGGUUCCAGUUCUAGUUUAAGAAGCAGCUAUUCCUUGGUGUGACCGUCUACGAUAGAUUUCUCUUUCUUUAAAGACCUUCUGUCUUCAGCGCUUAGUCAAGAAUUGAAUGAAUACGAGUUAGUUCCAGUUUCGUUCGAGUGCUAACGCUUACUCUUGGGCGUCCUUGCUAGUUUUUGUUGGGACAGAUAGAAUGGGUUUUUUUCCACUAUCCAAUUGAGUUGGCGCAGAUAGAAUAGGGUUUUCCACUAGCAGCUCUCGCACCGCUAAGAGACUUGCUUGAAGCUAGAAGAUAUGGCUAGUGAGCUAUCCGAACUCUCCUAUCUAGAUGAAAUUCAGAAAUUCAAUGAAAACUGAUAAUUGCACUUUAGCCUUCGCAUUCAACAUUCUCUUUGUAUAGAGGAGAAAAGAAAACUCGCGAUUCAACAACUAGCAUUAGCAUUGAGAUAAUCUUCUUAAAACGAUUCAAGUCAAACAGGAAAAUGGAUUAGCGCAGAAACGGAAUAUAUUAUUGCCCCCGAAAUCCCCUUGAGGAUCCGAACGAAACUUGCUGCUUUCUCACAGCCUAAGAUCCCGAGCCUGCUCUUUAUUACUAAGAUUGAUUCUUCCUAUGUAAAAGCUAACUCCUUAAGUGUAGAAACUCCAUUAGCUUACUAUCUUGUUGCAUACUUGCUUGUUUAAUUGAGCCUAGAUUUGAUAUACUCCACUUGAUACAAUGUUAUAUACUCCACUUGAUACAAAACGAGAUACGUGUGACUUGAGACUAUGAUACUUAUCAAGCAACAACAGUUGGACCAGUGAGACUUAUAAUACUGCACUAGCCCCCCGAAACCAAUGAAAUCUAAUGCACAACACUAAUAUAUAAGAGAAAAGUAGAAACAAGAGCAUUGCUUGAAGCUAUUAGCCCACGUAGCGUUAUCCUCUCUCUAUUCAAGGGUUCCGGGAAGAACAAGCCCUUGUGUUAGUGAGUGAGCGCUAACGUACAAAAAGCGCUUAUGCAAGUUAUUACUUCAUCAUAGGUGCUUGGUUUGCUUGGGGGCAAAGUGUGGUUUGGUGCUUGUCCUUCUCAAGUCGAUGUCAACUUUACUUCUUUUGCUUAUUCAGAUCUUGUGCUUCUCUUGGGGCUCUAACGGAGCUAACCCUUGUUUUAAGAUACACUCUAUUUCAGUGCGCGCAUGAUAUGAUUAAGUUGGGUCGGGUCCGGCAAUCAAAUCUCUGUUACACUUCUCUUAUUGAGGCACCGAUACCGCUAUCCCUAUUUCAAAGAUAAGAAUGCAGUGAGGCCUUUUCGUUGAUUCCAUCUAUGAUGAGACUGUACAUUGCUUCCUUUCUUCCAAAGCUGACUAGGGUAGGGCACUUGCUUGUUUCAAAUCAUCUAUCUAUCUCGCACAACUGAGAGACCUAUAGAGCUGUAACCUAUAACCUAACUGCUUCCAUGUUGAAUGAAGCACCGAUAUCCCUACUUGUUGAACUCAGCCAGCUAGGCAGCUUCACGCUAGACUCCAUUGAUUGACUUAUAGCCUUUAGUCGUUAAAGAAGCAGGGUGAGUUAGGUCUACUCGAUCAGACAACUUUCUACUUUACUUCGAGCGGAUUAACCGAGCCGAGCUGUAGACUGAGUUUCUUGUUCUAUGUGAAGUAACUCGACCCCUAAAACAAUUACCACUAAGCAAAGUAAGGCCUGUGUGAAGUAACUCGACCCCUAAAACAAUUACCACUAAGCAAAGAGUUUCUCAGUGUUUUUAGGAGCAAGACGUUCAACGAGUGUUGUCGACGAGAAUAAAGCUGCGGUGUUAAGGUCAGCAGAAAGUCAGUCAGCAGCAAGACCUGAAAGAAGAGUUCGAGCACGAGCAUCGUCUGCCAGAGAAGUUAUUGGUUCUAAGUCAGCUUCAGAAGGAAUAGGCCCAGACUCCGUUUUCAGAUCAUCUUCUGCUUCCAAUCCGGAUACUGAUCCUGUUUAUUCUGUUGGUUGUUCUGGUGCUGAUACACAACGUCUUGUCUUAUUGGGCCUAGACCCGGGCCUGGUAAUACUUAACGCUGAAGCCAACCAGUGAUUUCGAACUCCUAUAAGGCGCAAGUAAAACAUUAAUUGAUGAACGGAUACUCUCUAACACAACCAGUGAUUUCGAACUCCUAUAAGGCGCAAGUAAAACAUUAAUUGAUGAACGGAUACUCUCUAACAUAGGAAUGAAAGAGCACUGCAACAUUGAAGUGAAACUCUGUUAGCGCACCACCUCUCAUCUCACAGUACUUAUGGCAUCAAAACGAGUACUUUUUCUUGAUUCGGCUUUUGCUUCUUAAUCAGAGAAAACUCGAACGGGCCAAGCCAAGUAACUACGACUUAUAUAGAGAAAAAGGGUGGUUUAGAGAUGGGUUCACAAAGCUAAUGUGUCGUCUACCUUGAUACCCGAGAGUCACUGAACUUAUAGUUGUAAAUCCAGUUCCAGCAGAAUAAUAAUAAGAUGAAAAGAAGCCUUUGUCUCACCUUUAAGCAUACGAGAUUAUGAUUUAUAUUCAAUACUGUACCACCUUAUUUGUCCUUCUAACAUCUGCAGAGUGAAUCCGAGACAGUGACGUAACUCUUCUUUUAAGAGUCAAUCGGGUAGCAGCAAUAGCUUUUAGAAACUAUGCCUUUCGUCUUUCCAUCCUAUAUUUCAUUCUAGUCUGUCUGUUAUGGAUUCCUUUGUCGGGCUAGGGAGUCCCAUUGGGGGUUUGGUCGGAAUAACGCUCCUGCAAUCUCCGGAAACUCAGGACGAUGAAAUUCAAAUAAAGAAGAAAGCUGCUUCCCGGUUUGAUGUAAUUGAAGUAUCGUUUUUGUGUAUACUCAAUCCACUUAACGUAUCUAUCUUUGAUGGGAAUAUGGCCCUCUCUACUUUGUACCCCAAUCCUUUAUGGACAGCGAAGCGAAACUCCAUGCUCUCUUUCUUAGGUCUUUGUUUUUGGUUUUUGGAAGAGUAGGGCGACUUUAGCUAUCAAAAACAACUCAGUGGAAAUGCAUUUCUUUGAUUUCGGAAAAUGAGAUAUUGCAUUUGGUUUUUUGCUCACAACCUUUGGUUGACUUAAACCAUUGGUGUGUAAGGGACGACAUAAUCUUAGAUAGCAUCCAAGGACGCCCCCAAGUAAAACAUUGCCACUCACAUCUUUGGAAUUGAGAAAGUAGUCAAAUGCCCGGAGACCCAUGCCUACAAGAAAUCCAAGGAUAGUAUAGUCAAAGUAUCUUGCUUGAGGCCAAUCGAUGAAUAGCAAUCAAUCCUGAAACGUUUGAGCAUUCUAGGGGAUUCAGAUAAGAGUCCAUCCCCUGCUAUCAUUAUUUUGCUUAUCUCCAAUCCAUUAAGGUAUCCAACAAUGAAUAAAGGCCAGGUCCUAUCUUAUUUCCUUUCUGACUCCCUCCAUGCGGAUCCGAUAAUGUCAUCUCCUCUUCCACUUUUGGAUAAUUAUUUCUGUAUGAAACAUGUAAAUCCUCUCUAACACACUUUUCUCGAAUCGAACUUCUGUCGUUUCUUAUUGUACUCGUAUUCACUCUCGUCUCCUUCGUUCCUCAUCCCAUCCUUGUAUUGUACAGCUCAGCUUCCAUUUAGAUUAUUGUCAGCGUCUUAAACCCUUGAUUUUUAUACGGCUCCAAGUUCCUGGCUUAAGAAAGAAAGCGGGCCACCAUAUUUCGAAAAGUAUUCCUAUAGAAAUGCGCUUCCAUAGAGAGUGUCCACAGGAAGACAGCUUUCUGACUUAGGUGGAAUAAGAAUUGGAAACUCAACCAAACCCAUCGGGCUUACUACUUGAAGGGAGAAAAAGGCAUGGGUCGAAAGGAGUCUUUAUGAUGGGGAAUUGGAUCCAUGGCUGUCGUAAAAUAAGGCUUUUCUAUAGGCUCUUCUAUAAUGGUAUAAUGCAAUUCACUUUUCUUAUAUAUAAGAUAUCAGAAAGCUUGAAAGGCGUACAAAGAACGAGUGGAGUUCUGGCCUCAAUUGGUUUUUAAGGAUUCCCUAUCUCUGGCGAGUAAGCUCACUCCAUUUCCAUCGACCCUGACUCAUUAGAAUAAGAGCAUUUUGAUCUCCAUAUUGACAAGGGUAAGAGUCUAAAAGCAUAGGACCGAGAAAGUGGCACGUUAACAGGAAUAUGCCCUAGCNNNNNNNNNNNNNNNNNNNNUUCACCCUUAUCUUACCCUAAGAAAUAAGAUGAAGCUAAUAUUGAACCAUACUCUCUAUUUGUUGCAUUAUCCAUCCGAUAUUCUCUAACCUUACUAUGAAGCCUCAUCUUAUCAUUAGUUGGUCUCCUCGAUACUAUAUUAUAUAUAUUCCAGUAUUACGCUUGACUCGCAUAAUGGCUAUUUAUGUUCGCUCGCUUACUAUCGAUCGGGGCAUACUGUCCCUAACAUUAGGGAUGGAUGGCUAAAGGACGAAUCAUACAAUCAUCCUUAGAAAAGGGUACGCAUAAGGCUUACUUUAACUAAGACACCACUGGCUUGAGGCUGAAGGAGCAUUCACACGCACUGAUUUUCUUAUCCCACCUACGAGUCUAUAAAUAUCCAAAAGGCUUACAACUGGAAGGCAAGAAUACUAUCCAAAGGGUAAUUGAUUGAAAUAGAGUAGAGGUCCCCGCAUCUAUUUCGUGCAAUAACUAGUAUCCGGGAGAAUCAAGUACUUACUUUCGGGCACUUUCGUUUCGAUAUUGCUUGUAAAGCCCGUCACUUCUACUAGCCUACCCUUAGUAUACUGGCUUGGAACCAAAAGUGAGUGGAAAGGAGAAUCGAAGGAGUGACUCCAACUUAUGUAAGCUUUCUACUUUCACGGAAUAUAUCUGAAUUAGGGCCACUCGAUUCGUGCGUCCCGGCUUAUACUCGAUCCACAUAUCGAGAACUCAACCCAGAAGUCUUGCUACCUUGCUUGCUUAGGGCUGAGUUCGCUUCUUCUGUGUUUGGAAAUAGCUGGUGGCUAUAUUAUCUGUUCGCGCACUAUAUUCUUCUUUCUGAACGGAAGGGCUUGUGGUUCAUUACACCAAAGGCUUUCUUUGAACUAUUGAAGCUAUCGAGAGAGUACCAAAUGCGGACGGUUACGAAGGUUAGGUUACCUACUUUCGGUGGACGCGGAGCCGCCCUUACUCCACCACGAACAGCGUAACGAGUCUAAGGUUACAGAAGCGUUCGCCAACUUGGAUAGGCAUAGCUUUGCAAGCAAAUAGAGAUAUCCCCGCGUCCUUGCACGGCUCGUUCUUCUUGCCCAGCUUCUCCCUUCCGACUCGACUCCCCCCGUUCUACCGUCCUAAACUUGCCGUAUGGAGUAUAGCCAAGUGGUAAGGCAUCGGUUUUUGGUACCGGCAUGCAAAGGUUCGAAUCCUUUUACUCCAGGGUCUUUCUUCCAGCUUCCUAUUGGCUCAUGGGUGUAGAUCUGGAAGUGUGCUAAAGAUUAUUCCAUAGUUGGAUGGGCUUGAUCACUACUGGCUCUCUCCCCAACAAACUCCGGAAGGCUUUUGAUAGGCCUGAGGCUGCAGCAGUUUUCUCAUUUCAGUUAAGGAACCCAGUGCAUAAUGAGCAUGCCCAAUUGAUGAAUGAUAGAGGCUGGCGUCUUUUGGAAAUGGGUUACCAGAAUCCAAUUAUACUGCUGAAUCCUUUCACAAAGACUGAUGAUUGCCUUUUUUCGGAUUAAGAAGACAGCAAGCGGAUUUGAAGAUAUUGAAUAUAUCCAUAUAUUGCCUUUACUAAUGAUGAUCUGAUGAGUUAUGCUGUUAUAACAAACAUUUUGUACACCCUAUAGAGUCUAUUUGGAAUUUGUCUUUCCAAUGGUUAUUUGCUGUGGAAUGGAUGUUCAUGGAUUUGUUUUCAAACUGGUUCCGCUAUAGAAGAAGAGAAGAGAGAGAGAUUUCUAUUACCCUGAUCAUGGAAAGAAGGUGCUAAGCCAUGGCUCCCACUCCGGGUUCUUUAUAACCCUAUUUUACAACACUUGACUUCACUUACUAUUUUACAACACUUGACUCUUUACUUUACUUAACUUGACAACACUUUACAUACAUUACUUUACAGUCUCGCACUUCAUCCCGUAACUAUGCAGUCGAGUAAGCACCGAUUAGGUUCAGUUCUCCUCUCAACCCCUAAAGGGCUCAUUCUUUUUAUGUUACUUAUGCAAACUCCCUUUGUGUAGCUGCUAGAAUUGAACACAUAUCAAACUAAGGCGAGAAAUAAGUAGUUGCCUGGGAAUGCUGCUGGGAAGGGAAUGAGUUGGCGACGAAAGAGAGAGAAUCAGUGAAGCGAGAGGAUAAGCAGUGAGGAGUAAGCGCUUAUCUUAUUAGUAGCAAGAGAAAGAUCAAUUCCAAUCUUAGAUGCAACAAGCAACUGCGCGAUUCCAUUCUUCAAGCAAGUUAGCAUCCUUCCUAUAGGCCUUUAGCCCACUGAUCAAACCCCCAAAAGUCAUAAGUGAGUUUCGAGAACAAGAAAACAAGCAAAUAAGCUACUUAAGUAUUAGUUGACUUGACCACUUCUCAUUGGCCCAACUCUGCCUACUGCUCUAUGUCACAAGUAUCAAGUUUCUACGAAAGUAACCCUGAAUGAAAGGAAGCAAUGAGUCAGCAAAACAAGCUAGGGCAUAAGUAUAGAGUUGCGCUAACGCGAGUUUGAGUUUCGUGGAACAAGCUUAUGGGAGUGGAAAGCAAGGGCCAGAAUCCAGAGUACUAGAAGUCAACUAAUUCCAUUCCAUUCUUCAAGCAACAUAACAAGCAACGUUGAUUGGCUCGCUAACACUUGCACUUUUCUGGUUUCGCCUAUAGCUUCCUCUUGCUUGAUUGGAGUUUAGGCCAGUGUAACGCGCUUCUUCUUUAUUUGAGUUUAGGCCAGUGUAACAAGUAACAAAAUCAUAUAAGUCAACAAUUCCGGAGUAGUUACCUGACUCUGCUCGCACCUUAUCUUGUUCCCUUGCUUUCGGAUUGUGAUCGACACCUUCUCUUGUUCCGUUGUGCUAACGACAGCUCAAGACUAACGCUUAUUCGAGUUGUUAGGAGUCAAUAGGUUCUUAUUGUGUUAGGUGUCAAGAGGGAGGUUCAUCUCUUAUAGGCGCACUUACAUUCAUUCUCCAUAUCUAGUCGUUGCGCUAACAGAAGCUUUUCCUUGAGGGUCAGGUAAGUCGCAGCCGUUUCGAAGCCGUUGUGCAUUGAGCCAGUAGUUAACCAGCGAGUUUCGAUUCUUCUAAGUAAACAGUGAGUUUCGGUUAAUAAGUUCCAGAAGUCUUACCGACCAGAGGUGUGUGUUAAUUAGUGCCACAUAAAGGUGCUGAAAGCCUCAGGUAUCUCUUUCUGUCCUUCUGAAGCAGUUAAUGUAGAAAGGAAGUAAGCUCGCAAGAAACAAGUGCUAAUGGGAAUUGAGAGAUAUCAGAUGCAAGAGUUUAGUAGUCAGCUGGUUGUUUACCCUCCUAUAGUUAACCUUAAUAUAUUCUAUCUUAUAGUUAACCUUAUCCUUAUUAUAUCUUCUAGUUGACCUUAAUAUCUUAUAUCUUAUAUCUUAUAGUGUACCUUAAUAUAUUCUAUCUUAUAGUUAACCUUAAUAUAUCUUUGUUAGCGAGUUACUUCAUCAGCAUUAGCUUACUUUUCUCUUUUUGGGCGCUAGGCAAGCUCGUUCUUUCUGAUCUUGACACGAAGGGGCGUAGCGGUAGCUUUCGUAAGGCCUAAAUCAAUUCCUUUCUUUUGCCUGAGUGCGUUAGCUUCGGUGUUUGAACAAGCAACAAGGGCGCCAGUAGAUACAACGAUAACACAGGGCCCUCGCCUUAGUGCAUUAGUGGAGUUUCGGUUCUUUUUCAGAAGGUUGGUUUUUACAAAUUCUCAUAUGUCUGGCGCAUCUCCAUUCUCUUCUUUUGACUUUCUAGGGGUGGGUGCCCUUUUCUUUGACUUUCCAGGGGUAGGUGACCAGCUGAUAGAUUCAAGUUUUAGUCAGGAGUCAGUCUAUUAAAGGGGGGAAGAAAAGGUGGGUUAGUUUAAAGCGCAAGCAAAGUCAACUGCAAGCGGGUCUUCAAGGAGAGUUCGGGUUGCCCCUAAGGCUUACUCUCGGGGGGAACAAGUCAAAAAGCAAGCGCCAAUAACCUAGACAACACGAGAACUAAACUAUCGCAUUCCAUACGUACCGCUGACUUCACCUCUGAUUCCAGAAUUACUGUUUCCAUAAGAGACUCCAUAUCAUUUCAGGGCCACCCGAGAACAAGACUUAGAACUAGAGCACCAACACAGCUCUCUUCUCUUGGAUACUUUCUUUUGACUUAACUCCUUCACUCAUCUAUUUCGUUUUCAAUUCCCUAGUCCCUUAUUUCUUAUCUUAGUUCUUAUGACUCUUCCUUUAUACUCUGCCUUUCCUAUUGCCUUAACUGGCCAUCUUCUCUUGAAACAGCAGCUUAUCUUGCCUCGCCUCUAAGAUGGGAAUGGAAUCUAUCGAACACAUGUGAUAUAGAAGACAGUAAAGACAUAGCGAGUUCACCCUCUCGCCCAGCUCUUCUCUUCUUCUCCCGCUUAUGACAAAUAGGAAGCUGCUUCCCUAUCUGUGGAAUCUUAUUCUUCUCUUUAUACUGUUUCUUCUCUUUCAACAGCUUAUGAUAUAGUCUACUUUACUCUAACUGUUUCUUCUGUUGCUUAAGAUCCAUAUUAAUCUGUGACUUCUGGUAAGAUUGGAAUUGUAGUUAAGAGCGCAUGGUUAGUGACCUUCUUUCUGAUAUAAUACCUGGUGGCUCAAUACGAAAGAUUCCAUUUCUUCCUUGUGGACUCGCCAAUAGAAUCCAUUCUAGUUUCAGGAGAGGUCGGCCAAUUAGUCAAGUACUGGUUUUGAAGCGAGGUCUAUAAACAAGCUAUAGUCAUAACUAUAUAUAUAUAUUAUGUUAUUGUUUCGAGAGUAUCUUUCGGUUCGAGAAUCAUCCCGAGUAGAAUUCUAUGGAAAGAAUGGAAUGUGAAGGCGGUUAGCAGCGAGAGAAUCAACAGUUUUCAAUCAAGGGCGGUUCAUUAAGUGCAAUUCCUGUUCGAAAGUCAGCAGCAAACAGACGGGAAGGAACUACAGAGUUCGAAAGUAAGGGUUAAAGUCAUACUAGCAUCUUACUGUUUCAGCGCUAAGUCCUUCUUUUCUUUCUGUUCGCCCAGUUCUUCUUUCAUCAUAUAUAGAAGCCGAAUCUCAUCUAGCUCUUUUCGAAUAACCACUACAAGGUUCUGAAGGAAAGGAAGCGGACCUACUUAAGGUUCUGAAGGAAAGGAAGCGGACCUACUUACUUAAUGCAAAUAACAAUACCGAUCUAGUCCAGUAGAGCCUUAGCCUUAACCAAGAUAUAUGUGUGCGAUCAGCAGUAUACGCUUGGCUAGUUUUAUCUGUGUUGGCAAGGAGAUCAUCAGCAGUAGGGCGAGAAGAUAAGCUGCUUUAUUUCAUUCCGAACUUCAAGUAGCCAAGCAACUACUAAUGACCAAGCAACGGCGCGCCAAGUAACUACUAGACAAACAACUACUAACGACCGCCAAGACACUACUAACGUGGCGCUAAAGUGAGUUUUAGGCGGCGCAAGACGUUGGGCGGUAGCAACAGGCAAGCAACUACUAACGUUGCGCGGCAGGGCCGCUUACUAUAAUUCCCUCGAAUUAUAACAAUAGAUGCUUUCGGCGUCAGGAGUUCAGAGCGGCAGCGAGCUAAAAGCGGUAGCAACAGUAAUAGAUAUGACAAGUUAUUACAAUAGAUGUUCUUGGGAGUUCAAACACCUUUAAUAAAUUGACUUCUUUUUUUACAAAACCCGGUGUUCUAGAGUGUUGAGUAAGUACAGUUUUCGUCCUUCUCCCCUACCCCAGUUAGUGCUCUUUCCUUCCCGAGUGUUACUGCCUUUAAGAAUAGAGUUUCUACUCGGCGUCUACUUGUCUACUAGCCAGCUUGUCGGGUAUUUUACCGAUUCAAAAGACAAAUGCUCAAAUGUUCCUUUUGCCUCAGCCGAUGAUAGUCCAGUCCGGUGUAACGUAUUCUUCUUCGUUUACCAGUUGGUGCCACUGGAGGGCCCCGGGUAGUUCUAACUCCGUGAGUCCAGGAACUCAAUUCCUAAGCGUCGAUAGAUAUUUUCCAUUUUACAUAAGCACUUUCUAACAUUUAGAUCCGGGUCAAUGAAGGAAAAGAAAGUAUCUCCCUUAUAUGCUAGCUCAAAGCCCGUCGGUACUGUCUUGUUCCAUUACUUUGAGUUAGUGGAAAGUGCUUCUCAAUCAGGCAGGCCGUGUACUCAUCUGGGAAUCACUCAUCCACUGCUCUUUCUCUCACAUCAGGCUGGAUGUCAUUUGAUCGAUCAAAACCGCAUCUGUCGAUGAAGCAGACGCCUAUCCAUGGCUUGAGCCAAAGAGUCGGCUUGCCCUUUUGUUUCCACUAAGCAGGCUCCCGUCUUCUACUGUAACAAGAUACCAAUAUAUAGGUAAAAACACUGGACUUACCGUAUCCCUGAGAAGGGUUAGCAGGGAAAGCUGCCUUGUUUAUUUAAGUACCAGGGGGCUAGCGCUUUCGUUUUGGGGGAAUACCCGCCCGGAUAUCAAUGACUAAAGUCUCUUACGCCACGAAAUAUAGAGAGAGUUAGAGCUCAUUAUAGACAUUAUCUCACAGAUGAAAGAGAGUGAAGUCAAGCCAAGUCACGUAUAACCAAACAACUAAGCCCUGUUUUUGGGAGCCCCGGUCAAGCAAUCGUAGAGACCGAGUAGAGUUUGCAGUUCCAAUUCUCCCUCGUAAGGUCUCAACAGGGCGUAACCAAAGAGAGUAGUGAGAGGAGAGCCCGACUCAAGGCCUAGUAGAUCUAUUCCAGCACUCCUUCCGUCCCUACCGCCCCGGGGAACAAGUGCCACCUAAACUGCAGGAUUCUAAAUCGUUAAGACUCCCUUUCCUUUCUAUCGGACCUUUCCAGCUUUCCUUACUUUCUUUCCUUGGCGCGAGUUCUAAAAGGCUUUUUCUACUUUGCUUUGUUCAUACAAGAAGUCAUAAAUAAGUGACAAUUCUGAUUCAUAAGACUCGGAAUAACAGGCUUUGAAACUCAAAGGAGGUGAAAGCUCCACAGAUACGGGAUAUGGAAAGGAGGGCACUAAGCUCGGCGGAGCUAAGGAAGUACGAGGCAGAGCCAAGACAAAGAUCGGAUGGAAGCAUGAAUACUCAAAGGUUUGGACUUUUGCAAGGACUUGACUUUCACUUCUGGAAUCUGAUUGAUCGUUUUUUGACUUCUGUUCGGGAAUCAGAUUUCUAGCUUUUUGAAUGGGGCGAGGCUAACGGUUCCGAUAGAAAGCGAUGCCUACUAGACAGGCUCGAAUAAGCCUUUCAAUUGAACAUAGUAUCAUAGCUUCUAAACCUAGCAAAAGCAGAAGUCAGAGACGGAAGGAAAUCAAAAAGCUUGUAGAUAGGCAAAGAAAGCCUAAACCUUUUCACUAUAGAGAGUUGGAGCUUUCUUUUGAGUGGCAUAUAGUUCUGUAGGUGCCCUGAUAGUCGUGAAAGUAAAGCAGCUGACUUCUAUCCUUACUGUCGAGCCUAUAGCCUAUUACUAACCUUGUUGAUUCCUUAGAGAAUGAAUGCAAGGUUGACUCUUCAGUCUUCGGCAGGAGGAGAAGUGGAUUCCCUUACUAAGAACAAGUCAUAAAGGAUGCUUAUCAAAUAUGUCUUGAAGAAUGCUAUCCUGGGGAAAGAAAGAAGUGAAGGGCUAAGACUAGAGGAUAAAGAUGUUAGGCGUCAAUGUCGUGUCCGAUAGAUACCUUCCAUAGAGGAAUUGAUUAGAGGCCCCCAGCUACUAAGAAUGGAAUUGAGUGCACAUUAAGCACAUUAAGUGGAUUAAAGUAAACUAACACAGCUGACUCCUUACUGGAAUAUAGAUAAUAUCGGCACCGCUAUUCAAACUCUAAGACUCGAAAUAGCUAUAGCUCAUGCGCAACGGAACAAGCAAAUCAUCUCUCUUGCAACCAGGAACAAGGCCUCGUCCUAGGGGCAAUAAGAAAGUACUGGAGUAUAGCGUUUAGCUGCCCAUCUGAGUGAAAGAACUAACGUAAGCAUCCCCCAACUCCUAUGCUUGAGCAGUUGCAAGUAAAGUAGAAAUAAGAAGAGUAGAAAGAAGCUUAUAUUAACUUCAAAUAAGAAGAGUAGAAAGAAGCUUAUAUUAACGUUUAUUAAGUAGAUUAUAAGUAAUGUUUAUGAAUUCUAUUUAAUGCGACUAAUAUGAUUUGAAAUUCCACAAUUAAGGGAACCGGCGACUAAGCAAGACGUUGUGUUGUGCUUACGUGUGUGAGUUUGUAAGAGUGACCAGUGCGUGUGUGUGAUGUGACUUUGUUCUAUGUGAUGUUACCAGUGUGAUGUGACUUUGUUCUAUGUGAUGGAUGUGACUUUGUUCUCUAAGUUGUGCUAACGUGUCAUUGGUUUAGGGUGGAGCAUAAGAAUAUGAAAUGACUUUAAGCAAGGAAGGGCAGGGCGAAAGUGAGCUUAGCUUAUUGUUGGUUGUUUCAGAGUACCUAGCUUAUGAUAGUUGAGUUAGGCGCCCAUGAGAUAGAUAUGAGUUUUGGAAGCAAUGAUGUAUUGUUAAUAUUGAAUGUUGUGUAAAUAGCUUCAUUCUUUUCUUUUGCUCUAUAGCAUUAGUUAGUUCUUAGUUGUGCCUUAGCUUACCAAGGGGUCUAAUUCAGUGCUUCUUAGGACGGAUAUGUAUUACCUGACUCCGCUAAGGCUUCCGAAGAUGGGCCCUUCCCAGCAACAUGCUUAAGACAUUGAUCUCUCUAAGGCUCUCCAGCUCGAAAUCCCAUUCGGAUUUCUUAGUUACUGACCGCCGGGUGGAGGUAAGGUCAGCGUCCCUAGUCUGCUCUCGGUUUGUUUGAUUGCAUCUGCCUCAAGUCACCUACUGGACUCCAAUUCGAAAUCCUAUAUCUCUCUGUUUACUGGACUCCAAUUCUCAAUCCUAUAGCUCUUCUCUCUGUUUUAAGCAUUGAUUGAUUGCUUGAUUGAUGUUGGGGCAUUAGGAUGGGAAAUGGCCUGGCGAAGAAUACCAAGACAGAGCUAAGAUUCCAGCUGGAGAUAGUGAAAGGGGUUGGUUUUGAUUAGCGGAGAAGUCAGCACCUUAUGUUAUGGGUGGGGCCCGAGGAAAGAAUGGGAGCUACAAUGGCCGGACCGAUAGAGCCAUAUAUCAACGGAUGGAACCAAGCAACGAAAGAGAUUGAUUCGCCUAAGACAGAGAAUGCCCAUACCCUAAGGUGAUGAUUUACAGGUAUUUAGGAACCCUGUUUAACCUCCAAUGGGAUUCUUUAGAUAAACGAUGUAUAGCUGGCCUUCAAUAUAACUAGGAGAGCUAGGCAUCGACUUACUUACUACACAUCGGCUUGCUAUGCAGUUUCGUCGGGGAUUAGCAUCGAAUUAUGCCUUAAUGCUUCACCGCUGCCCCCUCUCCUCUCUUUGUAAGGCUGGCGAGGUAAUGAGCAAUUCCCAGAUAGUUUAGUUCUCCUCAAUUGGUUGGCGCCACUUCGUACUCGAGGAUUUGAGACGGUAGUUAAGUGGGAAACGAACACUUGGGGCAGUAGGCGGAGUUGGGCCAGUGUUUAGUAAACCAUGAAGUAAGAAUGGAAUAUUCAUUAAUAAUCUAACAAGAAUCCAGAAAUCUAACAAGACUCAUUUUAUACUAUACUGGAACUUGACUUUCGUAGUGACUUUACUUAUACUGAUUCUACCUUGAUAGCGCUUCCCUCUUUUCGGAUUCCUUCCCUUUUUUGACCACAGAAAAACUCAUACUAAUAGCCAAUGCUACUUUAUGGAUGCUUCAAACAAGUUCUUUGACACUUAUUUCCUUCCUGUCUUUCCCCGAUAUAGGAGUUGGACUCUGCCUUUUCCCUCGGUACUUCUUUCUUCCCUUAUUAUGAUCCCUGCGGUACUUCUUUUCUUCCCUUAUUAUGAUCCCUGCGGUACUUCUUUUCUUCCCUUAUUAUGAUCCCUGUUAAGAAUAGAAAGCUGUAUGAUCCCUGUAAGGAAUAAUAUAUCGCUUGUGCUUUUAUUGCGAGUCAAUCGCCAGGGAUGAAUAGUCUGGUUUUGUAUGCUCAAUCAGUGUUGUGACCUACUUUAUUGCUGGAAGUAAACGAGAGCUUAGCUUAUGAAUUGAUUUCCCUAACGUUUGAGCUCGUCCUCGGAUCUGAUUCUAUGAUUUCUAUAAUGUUUGAGCUCGUCCUUUGAUCUCUACCUUUUCACUCUCUUCCGGUUUAGCCCCAGCUUUCGCUUUUCUCUUACCUUACGAGGAAAGCACAUUACUUCUGCUUCUAUUCAAAGAUUAGAUCGUUCUAUAAUAUCCAUUAUAGUAUCUCGUCAGUCACGUCAAUGAUUAUGAUUGAAUGAAUCGCUUGAAGAUCAGAGUGGCAUUGGAUCGGAAUAGUUGCAGCUGCCCUUAUUAAGGUCUACAGUAAUUCUAGUUUGAUUCAUAGCUCAGGCUCAGCCAAGUUCUCGUAUGGAUAGCCUUGUCAUCAUCGGGUAAGAGGUCGUGGAAGGGGGCCAAGCAACUAGACAAGUAACGGAUAGACAAGCAACGGCGGCCAAGUAACUACUAACGUUACGCGGCAGCAAGUAAUAGUCAUAACGAAGUUAUUACAGUAGAUGUUUUCGGCGGCAGUAACAACAAUAGGAAGUUAUAAACAAGUUAUAAACAAGUCCUGUGUUCGCCAAGCCGAUCUAGGCGCGGUAGCGAGCUAAAAGAGCGUCAGCAGCAAUAAGUAGUUAUAACUUAGUUAUAACUAUUCCUUUGUUUGUGUUGCGCGGCAGCUGUUAUAACCAAGUCCUGUCUUCGUAGAUGUUUUCGCCGCCAAGAGAGGAAUAAAGAGGAGGUGCGCCCGCUACGUUCAGUCAAGUAACGAGGAAAAGCUUCAAGUCAUUAAUGUCAGACUUAUUAGUGAGAGCGCUACGAAGAGCAAAUGCUUUCUCCAACUUUGAACAUAGGAUGCCCCAGGAAAAAACAAGGACCGAUACUUAUAGGCUUGGGCUUGCGGAUGCAGGCAGUUUCAAAUCAAUGAACUUCGUACAGAGCAUCUCGGAGGAAGAUGAGCAAUUAGAGCAGCGGACAAAUAAGAGAGAUUUGGUUCAUGUCUUACUGAACAAAAAUAAUACCUUUGUGACCGUGACAGAUGCUAGGGGCAAUAAGAAGACAGGGGCCUCUGCUGGUUGUUUGGAGGAAAGAAAAGGGCGGUCUCGUCUUUCUCGGUAUGCAGCUGAAGCAACUGCAGAACAUGUCGGGCGAUCCGCUAGAAAGAUUGGUUUAAAGUCAGUUGUCAUGAAAGUGAAAGGAUCUACUUAUUUCCGGAAAAAGAAUAAAGUGAUCUUGAGCUGGAGAGAAGGUUUUCGAGGUGAAGGAGUAGGAGAUCCAUCUCCCAUUUUGUACAUAAACGAUGUGACCCAACUUCCACAUAAUGGAUGUCGACUCCCCAAAAAACGUCGUGUUCAAAUAGUUCCCUUUUGAGAAUCUCCAUUUUCACUUGACAAGAAAGAAUAACGGACAAAAUCUGACUCGGAAGUCUGCUAUUGUACUAGACUUAUUGACUGAGCGAGACUCCAUCUUACUUUAUAUGCAUCCAUCUAGCAAAGCCGCGUGAGUAAAGAAAGCACCCGAAGAUCAAUAAAUAGAACGGACAACAGCAGAAGAAGCACGGACUCCACAGGGCUAGAUCCAAUCCACUAUACAAGCCUCUUAUUUCCACCGUUAACCGCUACGUGGUAUUCUUUAUACAAUGACAGCACUAGCACCGCGUCUUUCCUCUCUCUAAGAUUCCACUUUCAAUGGAAAUCAAUCAUAUUCGGUACUUACUGAUAAAAAGCCGAUACUCUCUUAUGACCGAACUUCGAGAGCGAGUUAGGCAGCUAGUCCUCAUAGCAGCUAGUUAGGCGUGUUUGUUAAAGCAGCAGGAAGUGUGAACGAGCUGAAGCUUCAAGCAGAAGGAAGAAAGCAAGCGGGCUCAUUAAUUAGUGUAGAAUACUGCCAAGUCCCUUUGAGAAUUUGUUAGGUCUUACAGUGGCAGCUACACAGUAGGCGAUCAGCUACUCCGAGAGCCGCUACACUGUGAAAGGAAAGCCGUUCAAAAGCUAUCUUUACUCCCAAAAGCUAUAUAUACUUAUAGUACGCUAAUUCAUUCUUUCUAUAGUACGCUAAUUCAUUGGUCGAUAUAGAUUGAUUACGUAAAGUAGGGCAUCCAUCUCUUUCUUGAGUCCGGCAAGCUUAUCAUACUCGGUCGAUACUCUUUACAUAUCUCUAUAGAGGCACUGACCCGGAUCUCUUCACACAAGGAUAUCCUUUCAAGGUCGAUACCAUCUCUCAUUCCGUAGUGAAAUCAAUCGGUUUCAUAGCUCUAGCUUGCUGCGUAAACUGGCCCUUCGUAAUCCUUUCCGUGAGGUAGCUUGUCUCCUCCUGCUUGUCUGGUUCAUGGGGCUCUCUAUUCUUUGAUUCAAGAAGUCACUCCGUGUUGAUUCCUCUGGCCAACACCUUUCCUUUCUUUGAUUCAUUCGCCCUACGUGAUCAUCUACUUUCUUCCAGUGGAUAGAGAAGGCCCCGUCUAGUCGAAAUAAGUCAAAGCUAUUUUGGUCAGAAAAAGCGAAUAUCAAAUCUGUGCCAAUCCCGUGUAAGCACCCUAUCGCCUGUGCUUGUGCGUUCCUAUCUCUUAUGAAUGGAGUAAACCGGAUCGUUAAGAUAAGACUUUCUAGAAGUAGAAGCUGCGGAACUGCUCUGAAUCAGAAACUUCGAACCAACUCAAGAUAGAAUUGUAGGCUAGAUAUUGAUAUAGGAAAAAAAGGGGUGCAUCUGACAUUACAUCACUCGGUCUCUUUCUCGGCCUAAACACCUUCCUAUGAGCAAGAGAAAAAGAAGACCUUAAAGCGGUCCACCGGGUCCAGCCAACUGACGCUAUGAAAGAUAACAACUAUUUCUAGUCCAGCCAACUGACGCUAUGAAAGAUAACAACUAUUUCUAUAUAAUAAUUAUUGAGAACGGCGAAUAAUAAUGGAAAUGCAGACAGAUCCGAGGUUUUUCUUAUUGAACUCUUUCGAAGUGGAAUGUAGAUGACGAGCAGACCUUCCAACUCUCGUUCGCUAGUCCACUUACUUUCCAUGAUGGGUCUUACGAGUAAGACAAUGUCGAUUCGAUUGGGCCUUUUCACACUCGAUCCUAAGCUACAAUCUCUGUUGAAGAUCGAUUGCAAGUGCCUUCUCGGCCGGAUUCUCAUCCUUACUUACUGUCGGAGCAGACAACCGAUCUGAAAUCGUCCACAACCUGGAUACUGGAUGCCAUAUCAGCGGCAGGACCCAUUGAGGCGAAUGUUGAUUUAGUCAACUUAGCGAAAAAAGGAACUACCCAACCCAACUCAGUAAGAACCACGACUGAUACUGCCUUACCAAAUAAUCUGCACUGUCAUACCUCUUUGAUAUACCUCGGAGAUGAAUGGAAGGAAUGAUCCUUGGGAAACCUGCUCCAGUGGUAGCUACCAUCGUAGAGUGCUGCCCCUUUACUUCCGCUGCAACUGUACCGUACCCCACACAGUUUCAAAUAGAAAGCAGUGAAGAGUAGACCAGACCUCCUCGACAAUCGGUAACAUGCUCUCACAUAAGCAACGACUCUUCCUUAUCGCGCGACCUGUGGGAACUCUUAUUAAUAGGCCCUUUAGCCAUCCCGGCAGACUAAUUGCACCAGCAGAGCCGGAGUCAGCGUAUUGGCAUUAGCAACUAGACCGAAGAGGUUUCGCUUAAGGACACAGGGAGACUUCGAACGCAAGGUGCUCUUCUCAAUUUAGAUGGCUUAUCCGUUGAUCCCCCCAACAACAGAUUCCAGGAUCAAGGAGCGUUUAGUACUUGGUAUACCUUCCAUCUCUGAGAGGGUAGAAUAGACCGUGGUUUGUCGUCUCCCAUUCUGGUCUAUCCUUUCUCUUUUAUAGAAGAUCAAAUCCGUUUCUUAUCAGGUAUCACUCUUUUUCCUCCCGGAACGUUUGACCAACAACGACCUAUUCAAGUUUGUCUUGAACCAUUGGAAAUUUCUUCCUUUGAUUUGCAGUCUGCUACUGAUCGAUGGCCUCUGUCCAUUAUAUACACUCUCUUUUAGUUAUUGUUUGGUGGCCUCAUCUUUAGUUAAUAGUUCGUUGGGACUCCACUCAUUUUUUGUCUGGAAGCCUAUGGUGAGGCGGAGGGAGUAGCAUUGUAUUCCUUAUUUCGAGUUUCGACCUUGUUAGCGUAGGUUCGAUUCAUAGUUGUUCAUUUCAUUCCUUGUGUUGAGUUUAGUGAUUAUGAGUUCAAUCCAACAGAAGUUAUCAAGUAAAAGGCAGUAGUAGCGGAGAAGAAGUCAAGUCUAGCAAUAAGGGCAGUGAGCCUGAUAGGCAGCAAGGUCAGAUUUAGAUCAAGGAGUGAAGAGCCUAUUUCUUUGUUUGACUCUUUCCGGUAGCUCAAUGUAAUCGACCCUAUUCCUAGUUGUUUUCUUAUUCCUAUAUUCCCAGUUGUUUUCUUAUUCCUAUUAGUAGAUGCGCUAGACCGUGCUCGUACUUAUACUUAUGAGGUUGAUUCACUGACACAAGAAGUCAGUCCGGUACCUAAAAGCUCGUAGGUAGUAAAGUCAGGCUUAUAGGAAAGCUAGUAUAAGGGAGCGAAAUACUUGAUUUCUAGUUAAGGUCUUAUCGGCUAGUAGGCUUUCAGCACCUUGUUAUGAGUCCAAGUAUUAGAAGCACUGGUUUCUGUAUUUCUUAUAAACAUAAGUAAUAGACGGAGGGAUUCUUUGUCUCUAGUUGAAGCCAGUUAGUAGUAGCUCAAUUAUGAGAAGCAAUAUUGGAAUUCCAAGUUGCUCUUUCCAUUCUUAUUAGUUUUGCUCUUGCCGGGCACUAGUUCCGUCUUGGAGAUACCGUUUGGCAUUGUUACUUAAUGGCACGGGAUUCCGACUUAUUUGUUUCAUUCCCAUCAGUAGUACGAAGCCUUAGAAGCAGCACAGGGAGCCUGCAUUGGGAGUUCCAAUCUGUGUUUUUAGUUUCAUCCUGGGUGUUUCGUUCUGCUUACUUGUUCUUAAUCUGUGUGCGCUAGAGCCACCCUAGUGUAUGCUACUGAAUAAGAUUAUUUAUUCGUAGUUCAAUUCGGACUUCCUACACACGCCCGAGGAGAAGAGUUCUUGUCCUUGAUUUCGUACUUGCCCCCGGAGUUGACUCUUAAACUAAUGUUUCUCGUUCUUUCUUGGACUUUGUCCCUCUGUAGUUGUAGCUUCGGUCUGCCGUCCCUUGCUUUGAGUCACCAACCAGUAUAAUAGGUUUCAGAGCACUAGCAACAAGAACUAGUGUAGGACAAUAGAACCAAACUAAGUAGUCGAGGCCCUAUACUACAUUGCUCUAGCGAUUAUGGUAUUGAACUCAUAGGUAUGAUACAGCACACACAGAUUAAUAAUAAGUGGUAUAACAUAGAAUCCAAGGAGCGUUAGUAGCCUUCCCCUAACUCCUAUUCUAACUACCUAAUUCAUACUCGUUUUCUUGAUCCCGUUAGUUAGUCUGCCUGCCCGGGGGUGUUACUAAAUUCCUGAACAUAACUUCUACUUGUUCCUGGCAUCCUUGCUUUACCACAUCGUAGCCUGCCCUUACUUACUCUAAUCUAGUAGUUACUUGUCUCUUUGAUUACUUCAGUUCAUUCUUACUAAACAUAGCAAGCCACUCUAUAACAAUGCCCUAGUAAGCCAUUUUAUACAGANNNNNNNNNNNNNNNNNNNNAACAGAAGAAGCAAGGACAGAUGUGGUAGAUCGAAUGCAAGGAAGGGAAGAAAGAUUUGACUACGAUUGAAAGCAAGGCUUAAAGCAUGGAUAGGAGCGAGGAAGAGCCAUACUAAUAAUCGAGCAUAGGAUCCGUGUACCUUCUGUUUUAAGUAGUAUUUCAAGUCAUUAGGCAGUGUUCGAUCCUGUCUGUGUUCGUUCCUGCUCGCUAGUGAUAGCUCUUAUUAUUAUAGUUAUAUCGCCCAUUGUGACUUGUUUUUGCUCAUUUGGCUUGCUUGUAGCCUUUCUUGCUCUUUAUUCGCAACAGGGAACUCGCGUUAGGAAGUGAAACGCGUUAGGAAUUAUAAGUAAGUCAGAGUGUUAUGAUUACUUGUGAAACCUAGACUCGUAAGCUCUUUGAGCACUACUGGGCGAGAUCUACUUGUUUGUAAUCUUGGCUUUGCUUAUUAAGUAAGUAGGUCCUUGAUACAACACCUCUUCCUCUAUCUACGACAAGACAAGAACUCCACUCUAGUACAAGGAAAGACCAAACCAAGCAUAUACUAAAUUAAGUACUUUCUUUGCUAUAGGCACCCUGCUUUCGUAGAAAUUCUGUCUAUCUUGCCCUUGACCCCUGAAUUAGAUGAAUGAGCCGUUAUCCACAAGAUUAUUGACAACAAACCCCGCACCCAUAUAAGUCAUUUUAGGUAAAAGGUGACCCUUAGAAUACUAAUGCAUUAUUGACUUACCUGAACCCCUACUACCCAUUGUUGAUAAUAAUACAUACAUUAUUGACUUACCUGAAUCCUUACUGUAAUGAAUGAGCCGAUCUAUACUUUCUCUUAUUGCCUGACCUGUACAAUAGAAAGAGGAAAAAGGUCACAAUGCUAGUUGUAUAUGUUGGUAGAAAGAAGAAAGGUGACAAUGCUAGUAGUAUAUGGAAGUCUCCGCUCUAUCAGUGACAUAGCUCCGUUUACAGCGCUAUUUACCCUGGACCAGCACUCUAUGUGCCCGGGCCGAUCGCCUUCUCACAUCAUAGAUGGCGCCUACACGCUGCAUGGUGGCAUAUUUGGAGUCUUCUUUAUCAAUAUCAUAUAAGUGCAAUUCCUGCGGUUCCUAAAGGAGAGUCAUAAUCAUUCUACUACUUGCUUUAGAAGAUCAGUCACGGUCUAUCUAGAGCGAGGCCUGGCCUCAAUUGCCUUCUAUUGAAAGGUCUUAUCCAGCGGGGCCUAUAACCAUUAUGCAAAAGCAAGAGCUCUCAGCGUAAAGAGAUAGGAGUUGGAUUCGCUUUCUGUGGUAAAGCCAGAAUCAUCCCUAGUCUUUAUGUGAUUUUAUUCAAGUCAAUUAAUGAAAUUGCUGCUGUCUAAGUCGGAUAGAGAAGAUAAGGAGCUGGGCUUCAUAAGGGAUCUUCCAUAUCAAAUAAGUAUGUACCCCCGGAUAAGGGUAGGCAUAAUAUGAAUCAUUCUCCAUCGCAUCCCUUUCACUCGGGUUGGUUUCGAGCAGGACUCCAAUAAGGGCUUACUCCAAUAUGGCCAAAGAGGGUUUUCCUAACUUAUUCAAUUCGUUGCACACUCACCAAUACUAUACCUGAUUGAUAAGAAGUAAGGGAACCUGAUUGAUAAGAAGUAAGGGAUCUCUAUAAGGGCUGUUCCAUUACUACUGUCAUUUUGACUUGUUUCUGCAAUUGUCAGGGCUUAAUACAACGAGGAAGACUGGCACGAAGUGACUUGACCUUAAGAAAGAAGAACCGGGACAGAGACAGGGACUAAUACUCGAAAUGAGCCAGGGACUUACACGGCAUGUAUCCAAUUAAGGUGAGAAGGGGGAAAGACGGAACCGCUCAGAGGAGAUAGGAUAGAGAUAGUGAAUUCAAAAGAAAGGAAAGGGGCACCACCAGAGCACUCUAUCACGUUAACCCUACUGGGGGCAAUUAUGGAGUUUCUAGAUACUAUUGGUACGGGGAAUAGAAGGAAUGGAGCAGUCGAAAAGCAAAUCUCAUUAUGGUAUGGGACAAUACACCUAAAGCAUAGAUAACUCCCACUUGAAAGAAACAAACCGACUACUAAUUAGGUCCUUUACCCAGCUGGAUAGUAAGAUGUUUAAUAUGCUUAAUAAUGAGAUCGUGUAAAAUACCCUCUCAACAACACUUAUGUAGUCCUGCGCUAUUACUGAUAAUAGUCAAUCAACAUAGGCAGGCGGUCCCUUUAUUCAGAGAGAUUCUCUAUGCUGGCAACUGCAACUAAAACGACUACCCGUGGCCAACAUCUACACGAUCUCAAGCAGGGCGAUGAUCGUUAUCUCCUUAUUAAAUCAAAGGGGACAGAAUAAGCUCACGGGGCGUCUAGUGAUUCCCUCAUCUCAGGGGACAAGGGGAAGAAUGCUCUAUCUAUCUAUUAGAUAAACCCUUGGAACCUCUACCCGAACAAUUGGUUGCCUUAGCCCUACUAGGGACUGCCGGAAAAGGCAUAGAAAUCUACAGUCUCUUUAUACAGACGACCUAUGUCCUAUUCUGUGAUGGAUACCAUGCUUCUCAAUAAGCUGCAGCUAGAUCCCCUAUCCUGUUCAAUAAAAAGAAACUUCUCGAAUCGAUUUCGAACUGAUGUGAGGCUUUAAUGAGUGGGAACUAAAACAGCUCUUCUGGUCCAGCCCCACCAACUCCCGCUCAAACUGUAUGGAAAAGGGAUGAUAUAACGGCAGGAAUCAAACCCACAAAGCAAGGUCAAACUACAGCAAACUCGACGGUAAGUGAUGAGUUAGGAUUGAAGUGAAGAUAGGAUUGGCAGUAAAGGCUUAGUACUUAAGCUAGAUGGCCAGCAACUUACACUUUGCCCUAGGAGUGCAUUUGUAUGGCUUGAAACUCCAACUGGUCCUAUGGGGCUAUAGAUAGUAACUCUAACUUCAACAGAGCAUCUAAGCUUUCUCCACUGGGUGAGAGAAGAGAGAAGAAAUUCCAUCCAAAUCAUGCUUGCACUCACUUGAAGAAGAUUUAGAAGACUUACUUGAGACCGCCUUACACAAGGUAGAGUAGCGCUUCCGAAUGAAAGCCAACUUGAACAGUGAUGAGCUGUCGAUCUAGUGCCAGUACUGAAGAAGGAAAGGACAGAAAGACAAGGGUUUUCCGUAAGUGGGGUGGAUAGCCUACAGGGAAAGAGGGACUAUUCGGAGGAGACAGUGCCUAUGAGUAGGAAAGACGGGUAAGAGCCUGCCUAUUCAUAAGAAGGAUGGAGCCCAUUCAUAGGAUUGACGGGAAAAGAGCCUGCCUAUUCAUAAGAAGGAUGGAGUCUAUUCAUAAGAAAGAAAGGGAAUUGGAUUUAUUGUACGACCCGAUAUAUACGACAACAUUGUUUACUUACCCCUUUACCUAUCGGAAGUGAGUUUACUAUCCGGAUUCAGUGAAGAAGAGGCUUAGUUGACUACCCAGAGACAAAGGCAGCAACGCACGCGCUUUUCUCAUUUUCAAUUAUGCUAUGGAUGAUGUUUUCUUUCUUAUGUAUGAUUUCAUUAGUUUAUUCCAUCGAGAAACUCAGAAUCCAGUUAGAUUUAUAGAGAGUGCAUCCCUUUUUCCGAUGAAUAAUGCAAUCCUACUCGUGGACUAAUAAGAAGGUACAAAAAUGAAUCUAAUCACAAUGGAAAUUAUCGAUAAAUGGAUACUUCUAUUCUAUAAGAAUCUAUGUUCAAAAGUUAGUGCUAAUAUAGAAGAAAGGGGGCAUUAGUUAAUGGAAAUCUAGAAUGGAGAAUACAUGCAUGAAAGGAUCCUUUGUUUCUCUUAGAGAGAGAAGAUAGGAUUGAUUUUCUAGGAUUAAUAGGAUGUGCCACCACUCGGAUUCGAACCGAGAUGCUCUAGCACUGCUUCCUAAGAGCUGCGCUGCGUGUCUACCAAUUUCACCAUUUAGGCUAGGCUGACUUUCCAUAAGAAUCAAGAAGUGUAUAUUAAUCUAUAAUCGAGAAAUAAGGAUUCAAGGAUUCAAUAGAGUAGUAGUCUAGUCAACAUUAGAAUCGAUAAAUACCAAGAUUCAUUAGAAUUCCCUUCCUUACUAUUGGAAUCAUUAGAAUUCCCUUCCUUACUAUUGGAAUCAUUAUUCAAAAACAUAAUGCUUAGUUGGGAUCAUUGUCAGUGUAGUUGCCGAGGGCUUAGCUAAUAAGUAAGAUGGCAUAGAGCCCUUACUGCUUUCUCAAUCAAAGAGAAGAUUCGGGGAUAUCAUAACUAUGCCCAUCUCUUGCUAGAAAGGCCAAUGAAUUAGGUUGUUGGGCACUUUACCCUGCGCUUGGAGUAGAGGAGAAUAGGUUUUUUGUUGAAUCAAUAGCCAUAGUCAAGCAGGCACUUAUGCAAGGAAUGAAGCCAGCCAAUGUCGCUUACAAGAAGAUCACUAGUAUAAUAACCCGCCUGAGAAUAGGCUAAUGGGGUAAUAGGCUAAUGGGGACUUUAAUACUAAAUCAUCACUUAAUACUGACUUUACCGACGGAGAUUCUCUUAGUCAUUCAGAUUGCUUGUUCCGGAGAUUCUCUUAGUCAUUCAGAUUGCUUGUUCUCUCUCCAUCUCUAAUUACAAUGGUUUCUAUGCUAGACUCAAACUCACAAACGCUUUAAGCACUAAGGCCUUGCGCUAACGGAGCUACUAUACUUUACCGACGCUUCUUGAUACUUCCACUUUCAACUUCACUUCAGCAGUGGAGCAUUCUGUCUACAAUGACACUGGCUACCCUUACUUUAUACUCUUACAAUUAUAGCCUUAAGUGCUCAGUGUAGUGGGCAUGAUCUUCGAGCUAGAUUCUCUUCUUCAUUCCAUUCCUAUCUUAGCACUAGAUGAAAUUGGAUAGCUAAAAACAGGACUUAACUACUCUUAUUGCCUUCUUGCCCUUCCCUUAGACAAAGAAAAGAAGUAAGAAUCAUAGAAUGGAACCAACUUCGUAAAAGGCCAAAUCAAGGAAUUUCAUAAAGUAUACAACUACAGGAUAUACAACUACAGGAUUCUAGUAACAAAACUAGAAAUACUCUGAAAACCCCGUAGCGCCAACCUCUGUAGCGCCUGUUGCUUUCGAUCUAUACUCGUUAAGAACUCAGGUUUUCGAUCUACCCGUUUUGCGCUAUCGCUUAUUGACCCACUACGCUAGGAUAGUGAGUUUGCCGGGCCCCUAUUCAACAAGGAGGAAUAUGAAACUGCAAUAAGCAAUGGAACUUUGCCUCAAUUCCUUCUCCAGCACAGGUUUUGUCUCAAGUAAGUAGCGCUAGUCUAGUAGGAUCUCGCCCAGUAUAUAAAAUGCAAGGGAAUAAUCAAGAAUAAUACAGUAAGUUCAACAAUUCUGCAAUUUCAAAUCAAAUCAAAGCAGUGCGAGUAGAAAGGAUAAGGCGCAAGUAUUGUAUUGAAAAACCUGUUGUUAAUGCGCACGAAGUAAAGUGUAAGGUCUCGUAUGGAGCGGGGAACAAGCAACGAACUCGAACUCAAUCAGUAAAAUGGAUAAUAGUGACUAGUGUUGUCUCUUUAGCUUUAGAAAAGAUGAUAAGUUCCGGCAAGCUACUACUCUUGGCUCUCACUUUCGAGCCUUACCAACGAGUAUAUGGUAUAUGAUUUCGUAAUAUGACUUGGAUUUCUAUACAAUGCUUGAACGAUUGGCGCUACUGACUUUUGUCUACUUAGGUGAGUUCCAUUGGUCUGCCUUCAAUCCGUUUCUAAGCCUAAGGCUUCGCUCUAUUCCCUGUGUUGUAAGCUUUCCAUCGUUGCAAGCCCCUUCCAUUCGGCCCAAGCUUGAAAUGUAGUAUGCUUCCGAUUCCGUUAUUCCGUUAGCCUUUUUGUUAUUCGUUUAGUCAAAGCCGGUAGGCUUUCAGCACCUUUCUAAUCGUUCUAUCAUUCGAAGUAGGAGCUGGUGUUUAGGGUAGAAAACAAUUGGUAUAGCGAGUUCAUGUGCUUGCAGUUGUGUUCCCAUCCCCCUCACCUUUAGUCGGAUUCUCAAAGGUGUAUUUGCUUUUCCUGGAGUUAUUAGAUGGAGUUCUUUCCUUCUGUGGGUUUGACUCACUUUCGUAGUCUCUCAUUCCAUUCCUCCCUACCCUAUCGUAGUAAAUUGCUCUCAUUCCAUUCCUCCCUACCCUAUCGUAGUAAAUUGCUAUUGAAAAGGAGUCCCGUAACCUUCUAAUCGGAGAGCAUUUCCUUCUGACUUGACUUUCUUUAUGCUAACUCAUUUCCUUCUGACUUGACUUUCUUUAUGCUAACCGGAUUGAACAGCUUUUCUACGCGCACGGUGUAGCGAGAGUGGCCAGCUUCCGCACAAUCUUACAGUUAAUAUAAAAGGCAUACUCUGGAAUGCUGUUGGAGGAAGUUCUUAAUAUGUCAGGAUUCCUAACCUAAUAUGAUUUCUCGAUUUCAAGCGUAAAUCCUAGAUGCAACGAAUCGUCUUUGCUGAAGCCCUUUUUCUCAGCCGUGGCACUAAGGCAUUGUCAUUGCUAUUCCGCUUCAUCUCUUCGGGGACCGGUGAGUGGAGCUUUUUUCUUGAUAUUCCAAUAUUCUAAGGUAAGACUUGACCCGGUGAUGAGAGAGGAGUUUCACAACUUCAUCGUAGCGGAUGAUGACGGGUGUGUUUAGUCAAAACUAACAACAGUAUGGCUUGCUUAAUAAAGCGCUGUAGGAUCAAUUAACUCAUAUUGCAUUUUUCCAUUCAUUCAUAUACGCUCUUCUCUUUUCAAAAGAUAGUUUAGUUACGGUUCCAAAUAGCAUCUUAUUAUUUGAUAUGAUCUCGUGAUAUCGAUCGAAUUAAGAUGGAUGUAAAGGGUCGAUUACAUUGAGCUUUGAUAGGUUCGUCCAACCCAUCCUGAUGCUCUUUCUUUUGGCCCAUGAAACAUGAAAUAAGCUGGAUCAAGCGCUGUUAAACGACUAUAGCAGCUUUAUACUUGUUAACGAUCAGAUAGCCGCCUAAUAGAGUUAGUGACGCAUCCAUACUCCCGGAAGGAUGUCGAAAGAGCUAGUGAAACAGUGGGCCCCACUGCAGCAAAGCUAGGAUCUACCGUAUAGGCAUUGUUCGCUUUGUGGUUGUACCUGAAAUGAGGAAGAGAUUGCACAGUCUUAUAGGAGGCCUCGCAAUACGGUGAGAGGAGGAGACUGAUUGGAACUGGAAUCACCCGUAGGCCUUCAGAUCCUAUGGCGAUGUUUUCGCUUAAUUAAGCAGCAAUAGUCCGUGCUAGGAAUACUUUCAUUAGCGGAAUAGGAAGUAGGGCUGUGAACCAUAGUUUUUAUUGGAAACCAUAGGCCCGGGGGACUACCAAUAGAAUAAAUAGGCUACCGAGUUUCCGCAAUAGCCAGAUAUUUGUAGGUGCUAAGCCUUUUCACAGGUGCUACGCUCCGGGAGGAAUAGCUAUUCUAACAUAUUAAUAUUCUUUCUCUUAACAGAACAACAUAUUCUUAUUCUCUGAAAUAUUUGGUAUCUGGGAAGCUAGCGUUUCAAGUAAAGGUCAUCUGUUUCGUUUAUGAUAGAUCAGAAUAUUGAAUUCCAUUCCAUUAUCCAUAGUCCGGACUUCUCCAUAGGGGUGCUUCCGUGGCUAAUCGUAAAUUAGGUUGACCACUGACAUGUUCCUUUUAUUUAGAUAGGCUACUCUGUCCCCAUCGGUCAGCAUAAGCAGGACCUGAAGUUGUAGAAAAGUAAGCUAAGCAGAAUCAUUGCCUGUAUCAGGAUCAGAGAAAGUGGAGGCAGUAUACAGUACGGAAGCAGCCCUAAAUGCAUUGUAGCCUGAGUUAAUAGAUUGAUGUAAAUACACUUCACUUCGAAGUUCAUUCAAUUGAGCAAGCAAGCAAGAUAUUGGGAAGGAUGUUGUGGAAAUGAAUGUUUUACUGAAGUGGGUAUUGCCAGACCUGCCCUAUCGUUAUCGUUCAAGAGAAUCAGCUGGAGCAGGCUACGAUAUAGAAUAAGAGGAAUAGGAGGUGUGUGUUGGCGUAGAGAGAGUGUGCUUCUUCGGCUCCUGUUAGCGAUGUGAGUGUUGCGGUUCAAUUCCAUUCUUCAAGUUGAGAGUCUUGGGGAGGCAGUGUAUUUACAACCAGCAAGGGAACCAGAAAUCCUAUUGGAAGAAAUGACUUAUAAGGCAAGUUUCUUAGUUUCGGUAUAGUAGUGGGAGUUCAAAGAUACUGUUUAGGAGCAGAUUCAGUGCUUGUGUUAAGCAAUGAUACAAUCUAUCUUCUUAGUCUUGAGAGAACACCUGCCGCGGAACACGAAAACAGGAAUUGUAAUAACAACAAAUAAAUAUACCUGAUGUUGUUUCUUAUUGUAGUUGCCUCCGAGUUCCUUGGCUCCCCUCCAUAAUUCAUUAUUUCUUUAUAAAUGAAUAACUGAUGAAACUAUCACUCCCGGUUUCAACUCCACAGAACGUUUCAACUGAGCUUGUAGUUACUCGCCUGCUUGGCCCCGGUAGUACAGCUCCUGUUCUUGUGGAAUCCCCAGUUUCAUCUGCAAUUCAAUCAGUGGUUGUCGACUCAAUUGCCUGUUCUCGUGGUAUUAUACCUGUUCUUGUUCUUAAAGGAGUAGUUGACAGUUCCGUUCGAGAAUCAGAGGGGUCGGCUAAGGCGCUAUAGUACUAAUAUAAGUCAGAGUUGCCUAGUUGCUAAGGUUAAGAAGCCUAUUAUUGCUAGUGGCAGUAGAAGCCUGGCUAAUGAGUCUGUUUCAACUGAAAUUAUACCUCCAACAACUCAUUCUUUUCAACAAAUAAUAGUGUUGUAAAGAUCCUUUUCUUAAUCCAGUACUGGUGCACGGGCAGAGCAAGGCAAGGCGAUAAGAAAGUUGAGUGACCUAUUAAGCCUCCGGAAAUGCCCCGACCCUCUAGUGCUUACGGAUUCUAUGACAUCCCUUAUGCUAAUGAGUCAGUUUCUUCCGAUCUAGUAUCUGUUUCUUCCAAUCCAGUUUCUUCUCCAGCUGCUGAUGCAGAUUAUGGGCAUUCGGCUGAGGCUUCCAUAUUAGAUUCCACUUAUUUACUUAGCGCUUCAGAACCCCUGCUUGUUUCAAGAGGCUCAAUAUAAAGAAUCCAAGCUUGUUAGCCAGAGGCGAGGGAGAGGUCAAUUCUUGCUUUUGAGUUUCACUAGGCCAAGGUGAGUAUUGAUAUUGAUCUGUAUUUGCAGGAGCAGGCCCAGACUCAGUGUUAACGGGAGAGUUGCCUUACUUAUAUUACGCCAGUUCUUUACCCCUAUGAGAGAUGAGAGCCGAAUGAAGUUAAUAGUUGACAGCUUAGCUUGUUGAAAGAAGUAGGCGUGGUAGUCCUGUUCGAGUAGUUUCAUCUGUAGUUGGUGAAUACCGAGUGUCAUCCCAAACUAGUAGUAGUCCCGACCCGACCUCUCAACUGAAAGUCUAUAUUUGCUAUCCAAAAUCCCGGGUUUCUUAAAAAAGAUCAUUGGAUUGGAUCGGUUCAGGAGGCAAAACUCGUUUGCUACCUUUUUUCCCGGGAAAACGCAAAAGUGGAGGAUCAAUCUUAUGGUUUAGGAGGGAAAUUCUAUUUGCUAUGAAAAAACACGGGAAAACACAUCUUUGACCCCGCCGCUACACACUAGUAGUUACUUGGCUCAUAGCAAAGCAGACUUCACUGGGGUAGCUGGACUGAGCCCCGGUAGUUAAAGAACCAAACCAGUCAAUCCUUAACUCGCUACCGCGUCACAUUAGUAGUGCCUUGGUGAAUUAGACCUAAGUAGUAGAGAGGGGAGCCUGUAGCAAGUGGGUCUCUUCUUUGGGGUCGAGUAACUAAGAUAUCGAAUAGGGUAUUUCAAAACUUCUAUUUCAUGAGUGGUUUCAUCCCGAGCUGCAGAAGUGGAAUACGUUGUUUCAUCUCAAAGGGGAGUUAAAGAAUCCCGCAGUAGCAAGUGGUAGUCCUGUGGAAUCAGAGGUUUAGUCCAGUAGUAGAGUAGUUAAGAGCUUCUUUGGAGCAAGUAGUUUCGUAGUUUCAUCAGUAGUAAUAGCAAAGCCAGAGCCUGUACCAAGCACACUAGCUUAUGUAGUUCCUGCUCUAGCUUAUGUAGUGACUAGGCGUCUUGUCUAUCCGUUACUUGGCUCAUAGCAAUUCCAGUCUUGGUCUUGUUCCAGAAAUAGACCCAUAGCUCCAUCCUCUUUUUCUUAUUGAAAGAAGUAACAGUCCGGGUUGGGAGUAGUAAAGGGAGUUUGUAGAGGUGUGUCCUCUUAACGAGGGAAGUUCAAGAUGUAUUCUCAUCAGAGGAGUUCCCGAGUUCGUUAUGUUCGGGUCCGCUUGUAAGGCUAAGGUUCACUUGGCCGAGUUUCAUCUGUGUCUGCAACUCUGGAAUCAGAGGUUAAGUCGAACCAUAAAGAGAUGUUAGGAUCAAAUGCACUAUCACAGCCUGAAAGUACCAACAUAGGGAAUUAGCCUGCCAUAAAUAAGAGGUGUUUCCCCUGAGAUGAUCUGGUCCAGAGGAAAAGAGUACUGGGUUGGUUCAACCCGGGUAAUGAUGAGUUGCUUGGUAAUGAUGAGUUGCCUUAGGGGAGGUAAGCGCGGGAGCUAGCGAGUUUAGUCUAGGUUGCGAGUCAACGUUUUCGUAUAAGAAGAUCCAGAUUCGAAAUAAUUGAUAUUGGAAUGUUCUUAUACAGUAGUGUCGGUAGAGUGGACAAGUCCUGUCACUUAUAUAUCUGCCCCGCUUCCCUUGAUGGUUUCCUUGCUGGUUGAAUUUCAUUGAAUCUCUCUUGCACCAACAAGCAACUCGGAGUGCUUUGCUUCCAUUCUGACUUCAAGUAAGAAGCCCUUGUUUCAUCUUCUGAACGAAACUACAAGGAAAGCCACAUACAACCUUUUCCUCAAGUAAAGUACUAUCGAUCGAUGCCGCCUUUGCAAUACUCUAAGAAAAGCAAUCGAAUAGAAGUCUCUUUGUUCCCGUACUUGUUGAGUAAGGAGUAAGCUUAGCAGUGCGUGCGGUUGGUUUCAAGGUGUUUUUGUAGGCAGUAGCUCCUCCAACUAGUCUAGUCUACUAUAGAGGUUAUUGGCUACGCGGUGCUUGUUAAGUAAACUCGAGAAGAAGAGGUGAAAGUAUCCAGAAUCCUUAUUAUAAGAAAAAGCCAUAAAUUGGAUAAAUAAGGGAGUUUACGAAUAAUUCUUUGUUUGACUUUGACUUGGUGCUCGAUAAGAAAUGAAGUAUUGAUUAACUGGCACUACAGCUCGAAGUCCAGUGUUUGAGGUUAAGUAGAAAGUCAGGGUAGGGCUAAGGGAAGAAGCUUAAGAAGCAGUUUCAAGAUCAGUUGCCGAAGCCGAAUCUCCUCUUACAGAAGAAUGCCCAGCUUAAGCAGUGGGUGUGAGUGUUGCCUAGGAAAGGUGUUUACAAAAGUCAGGGUAUCGAGUCCGGGUUCCGGGCAAUCAGGCAGGCAAUAGCAAUAAUAGUCUAGAACCCCUAAAACCAGGGUCAACUAAUCAAAUGGCUAAUCUAUUGGAGUAGCAGGCUAGGCAGGUUAGGAAGCAGUGCGCAAGCAAGUACAAAUAUUACAGCAAGUUCAGUUGAGUCUUAGUCCAUUUAUUUAUUGUUGAAUCAUAUCUUAGAUAAUUGCUUAUUUGUCUUUAAUAAGUGAAAGUAUUCGAAUUGUAUAUCUGUGUUAAGGAUUAGAAUCCCGCUUCCUUAUUGUUUACAGUGUUUCUAUAUGAUGACACUAGUAUUCUAUUUGAUAAGGAUCUGUUGCAACAUAAGGAUAAGGAUAAUAAACAAGAUAAGGAUCAUCAGAAGAUCUCGGAUCAACUGCUGAAGCUAUACUAGCUAACGGAACUAAUCUACCUAUUACUGCUGCUGCUGACACAAACUCUCUCACUAGCGCACCCGCUCCAUACUCCACUUUAACAAUAGGGCGGGGACCCUAAAUGGAAUUGAAAUAAGUCGCACAACAUUAUAGAACCAAGUAACGAAACAAACACCCUUAUUAAGUGCCUAAGUAGGUCCAGACUUAUCUUACCAACAUACCUUUGGAAGCUAAUGCUGUGGGAGUGAAGUCUACUAUCAUUGGUGCUCGAGAGAUUCAAUUAAAGGAAGCAGCAAGAACAAGUAAAGUGACAGCGUCUGCAAGUGAGGUUUAGUUCGAGGAAGAAUCCCAUCUCAAGUCAGCAGUUAGAUCAGUUCCUGUUAUAGUGCCCGUUGUUGGUGACGAGUAUCUUUGUGAAUGAGUUUUCUGUUUCUUUGUUGACGACGAGCGGGAGAGCAAUCUUUCAUGACAAAAUGCCGUAAGCCUGACAGAGGGCAAAGGGACACAUUUGAUUAGUGGAACAGGGGUGAAACUUAGCUAAAAGAAACAAAAGGGCUAUGUCUCGUCUCUGGGGAGUGGUCCAAGCAUUAAUUCCGUGGCGCUGGAUGGAGCUCCGCGUUCCCUAAACCCCUUUAGUAUAGAGUAUAAUAGGUAACAUAACCAUCAAAUCCAAUAAGUUAUGAAAUAGUUCAUUUGACACCGCUCUAUUCCUAUGGCAAAUUACUCAUUGAAACUAAGAAACUGGUGUGGUGCCUAGGACUUAAUAUAAGGGCCACUAAGAAAGUUAUUGCUCUGGACUCAGGACUACUCUACCGGUUGGGCAAGAAGUCAAGGAACACGUACGCGGAGACAAUAAGGCUUAACCAAAGAAGUAGAUGAUCCGAUCUUUUCUUCAAUGCUUACCAGGUGCCGGUAUCCUAACUCAGGUGCUAUAGUGUAACAUACCUCUUUAACUCCUAGCUCUGGUAUUCCUACUUGUGAGUGGAAGUAUAAAGAUAGGUUGGUACUUACUUGGCCCGGAGAGUUAUUGUGGAAGAAGAAAGUACUGGUGGCAGAGCAAGCUAAUUCCAUGACUGUUUUCGGGGGAGUAAAGUUUCCAGUGUGUUGGAGAUGAGUCCCCUUCCGCCCUUAACCCUUACCUUACUUGAUACUUAAUUAGGCUAAACUUUCACUCCAUUCUUUGGACCACACCUAGCUUCAGCAGAUGGGCAUUCUUUAUUCCAUUCUGAAAUUCUACCUUAUAACAGAACUUGCGCAGAGUAAACUCAAUUCUGAAACGUUAACUUUAGGGAAAGAGUACUAGGUUAGUGACAUCUUCUAUCUCUUAAGGCAGAGAAGCGGUAAGUAAACUCCAUUCUGGUAUUCUCACUUUUGAGAAAGAGCACUAGGUAGGUUAGUGACCAAUAUCUAUAACACAGAGCAAAAUCCUCUUCGAUGGUUUUCUACCUUCAUAGCAAAAUCCUAUUGUCGGCUUGUCUUAUAGCUCAGCAGAUAUAUAAGUAUUCCCCCGGAAUUACUGUAUUUCCAUCUCUACAGUUUGAAGUCAUAAUUCAGUGUGAGUUGCCUGAGUCGAGGUAGGCAAGAGAACCAGUUAAGUCUUAAGUAGAGGCCAGGCCGGUAACUCACCUACUAAGGGAUGAGAUGGAAAGGUAUGGUUGCACAGGACUUGGUUUAUUACUUACUAUGUGUUUUAAGAAUCAAGUUAGAUGAGAAAGCAUCUUGUUUAGAUGAGCCAGAGUGGAGGUCUCAAGGGAAGCAAUGAAAGCUAUCCGGUCUAAUGAAACCAGAAAACAAUCAAUUAGAAAUCACAAAUAAUCUAGAGCCAAGCACCGACAGUCAGGCCUCAAUUCUAGUGCUCGUGCUCCUUCCUUUAAGAAUAUAGUUUACUUACCAACAGGACUACCAGGGGCAGGCAACCACUGAGGAAUUGCAUUUGGAGCCUAUACAAAGGGAAAGGGGUUCGGGGAAGUAAAGAGCAUAGAGAGCUAGAGGGUUAACAAACAACUGAACAAUCAACGAAACCAGCAAGAUCCAUAGAGCAGGAACAGCCCUUAAGUGAAUUGCAUUGUCUGCAAGAUCAUUCUAUUUCUUGGCAUCCUCAUCCUUAACUUAACUACUACAGGAUGCGGGUAAGUUUCAAUCAAGUAAGAGGCUUUGUCUAGUGAAUCUCGCUUAGUGGAUCUCGCCUAGUAUAGCCUUAACUUAACCAAGAUGUGUGCGAUCAAGAAAAGGGGUAUAAUAUCCUGCUUGUCUAUUUAUUGAAGUGUGAGUUGCGCUAACUUCAAGUUGGAGUUGCGCUCUAACCUAACUGAGUCUUUCUUAAUCAUCGGGGCAUUAGGGAGUUCUGGGUGCCGACAUCAAUCUUCUAUUCUACGGGAACACGCAAGGUUGAGUUGAGCUGAUUGGUUACCGCCAAUUCCGUUUUAGGGGGCUCCGUUUCACAUGGGUAUUACCACGAGACUAGAAUAGAAUGGCCUUAUUGACUUGACUUUAUUAUUGCCUUCUUCAGCGCCCAGCCCUUUGACUUAGUUUGACCCCUUUGUUAUCUCACUAACGCUAUUGGGCCUUUCGUGGAAUAAUGGAAGUGUUACCUUAUUCUAUAGGAACGUAAAAUCACUGCUUACUGCAGGCUCUGCUCUACCUAACAAAACAGCUCAAACCCAUAAGUUAACGCGCAAUGCUUUCUGCUAACGCACAAUGGCUUGUUGCUUUUUGAAUCGAAUUUGAAUGAAUAGAAGAAUAAGUAACAUACGAUAGAAAUCUUGAAACUAACAGCUUACUCCUUACUCUCCUCCUAUCCGGACAGCGGACUCUUAAGCAAAGCAAUAGGUACCUCCUGACCUUAGAUUGUACUUCUAUAUUUGCCAUGAUUUGAGAAAUAGUCGAAAUACCAAGAAAAUCCUCUUCCUAUUGAAUGAAUGCAAACGAAAAUACAUUGAUCCUCGUUUUCCCUCGCCCUGUGUUAGCUGUCCCAUAGGCUUUAAUAGCUUCUCCCAGUUCGAGUUCCUGCUGCUUGUGCUCUGGCUCGAAGGUUCCCGCGGAAAGAGUCAGUAUCGUACUAUCCGUUCACACUAGCAUACGUAGGUCAGUAUCAGCUUGCUUGUGUGAGUUCUUUUCGGGAGUGUUUCAUUAAUGGCAUAUUCAGAGCUGUCUCAGUUGCCGUUAAGGAUCAUAGCUCCUCUUCUCUCGUUAAACCCCAGUUUUUCUUCUUCUUGCCUUAGAGGUAUUCUUCUCCUUUUGGCUUCAUCAGAGUUCUCCCCUUCAUCGCCUACGCUUGUAGCUUCUGGAACUCUACCCUAACUUUCGAUCUACCCCUUCCCUUUAGAAUAUGCACACAUAACACAUAUGUGGGAGAUGCACCUUAUUAACAGCAGAAGAAUGGGAACCUUAUCUUUCAGAGAAGAAGAAUGGAAUGGAGUGGCCCCUAGGAGCAGCGCUCAAGAAUCUCCGUGAAUGGCACCGAGGAGCAGCGCUCAAGAAUCUCAUUGAGUCACAGCACAGUUAGAGAAAUAGAAACUUCGCCGUUGUUGCUUGUUCGCAUAUUAUGGAUGGUCGUUAGUAAAAAGCUUAUUCCUUCCCUUUGGCUUCUAACGCGCUGACUUUCUUAUAUGUUGUUUCUUAUAUGUUGACUUGUUUUAUUAAUACUCGAAAGAAGGACCGCCCUAUACAAUGGUACUGUACUUGACUGAAUUCUUGCCCGGCGCCACAGAAAGAAAUAGGCGUUAGCGCAACUCCCUAAAGCGCUUAACGUUGUUUGUUCCCCGCCCGAACACAUAAUGCUUGCUCGAAUUCCAGUUUUCGCCUCCCUCUCGCCAACCUCGUUAUUUUUCCUUAUAGAUAAAAAACACUUUAUGCCUAGACCCAUCAUAUUUACAAGCAGUAGUAGGUCCGACGCUUAGUAAUAGAAUUGUUGAUACAGAAACCCUUGCUUGUUGAGUUAAGUGAGUAGAGAUUCUUUCUUAUCAAUUGAAGUAAUUAAGGCACUUGUGGAAAUUCCUGUGUUACAGUAGCUACAGGCUAAUACUCUAGCGUGGGCAUACCGAUUUUACACAUAGGAGAGAUAGACUAACAAUAGUACGGCAUGGAAGAGCAAUAAUAGACAGUAGGGGAAGGCACAUAGGCAGAAGCGAGGUUCGGGGUCAACAGUAGAAUCAUCUAAGACAAAAUACAGGUGGAAAGGCAGGCUUGUUAGUCAGUAGGGGCAGGAUAAUAGAAGGUCUAGUCAGAAUAAGAGAUCUAGAUAUCGUAUUUGAAUAAAGGGAGGGGGACUGAUCUACGGGAAAGGUAGAGUGAAACACGGGAUAAGUAAUCAAACAAGUCAAUCUAAUACUUUACCCAAGGGGAACAGGACAGACCGAUAGCCGUUAUAGUCAGAAUGCGGUAGGAUAAGUCGGGUUGAAGCAAACACAAGUAAGUUGGGCUUGGAAGUUAAUGAAGUGAGGCUCGGCUACUGGUGAGUUAGGCUUGGGUAGUUAAGUUCCAUUCCGAUUUCCACUAUUUCACUUCUGAGUUUGUAUGCGCUGGAUCAGCGUAUCUAUUCUCUUAUCCUAACAUAUAAUAGUAGAAUGUCCUUCCUACAGCUAUUUCUGAUCUCAAAUCUUUAUUUCACUUACCCUUCCUUUAUACGAUGAAACUAAGGUCGAGCCAAUCAAUCACCUGAACCCUGCCAAUAACUCUAACUAAUGACUCGAGCUCCGCCAAGCAACUACGGCUGGGUAAGAGAAGGAGUGAACCUUUCAUAUAAGUAAUGGCAAGCUGCUUGAAUCUAAGGGAAAGCUACUACGGCUGCAAGGCAAGCUUAGGGAUGAGCCUAGACUUAUGGAAUCCGCCCAGCUCCAAGCCUAUUUCAAUUGUGACUGUAGUGGUUAGUUACUUAUUCUAUUAUGCCUCUCUGCGUCUAAUGAUUGUGUUUAUUCCCGGGAAUUGGUACCUCGAUCAGGCUUAUCAAGAAGAUAGAGUCAAAGGCUAAGGCUUAACCGAGCCGAGUAGAGAUCCAGUCCAAGCAUAAAAGAAAAUGAAGUCAGUCAGCAGCAAGCUGUUCUGAAACUAGAGUUCGGGCAAGAUAAGGAAUUCCUCACUGAAAGGUAAAGGAGAGAAGUCGGGUGCUUGUGUUAAGAAAGUAGUCAAUCGAGAACCUUUGCCCGGCUUGCCUGAUAGCCAAUAGUAUAGGAAUAAUCAAUUACCAAGUCCAGUGCCCGUGCCCUUGAUUAAUGCCCUAAAGAUAUAGGCACUAAAUGAAUUUCUUGAACAGGGAAGAGAAGAUGAUAGGUCAUUUCCCAUAAAACAACUAUAGUGUUGAAAUAGUGCAUUUGAACCUAACAUCUUGAUGGUUCCUUGCUUUAUAACCAAGUCCUUUGUAUUGGGCGUAAGAAAGAGGAAUUACUGAAUUUCACUAAGUAGUCAAAGAGACAAGAGAAUCAGUAGUUGUAAGAGAGGAUGUAGAUCCGGGUAACUAACCAUGGGCUCUAAACUUCAAAUAUCAGAAUGAAACUAGAGCGACUCUCUCCCGUAGUAGAAACCAUCCCUUUCAAACAAAGAAUGCAACUCACAAAUAGGAGAACUCAACUCUCAAGUCAGUAUAAUCAUAAGACGAGCACGAGCACUGGAGUUAGAGCCGGAGUUAUAGGAUAAGAAUGAAGUGACUAAGGAGCCAGCAAGCUCAGAAGUCGGAAAGGAAGGGUGGUUAGAGACCUUCCUAGGAAUAAGGAAUUUCAGAAUGAAACCAGUGAGUAACAGAAUGAGACCGGGUAGACUCAGACUGAACCAAGUAAGUAAGCAAAAGGGAAGCAGUGCCAGGAAAGCAGUCCGCAGUGAGAGUUUCGGUUGGAAAUGAAUAAAGUACUUGCUUUGAUGCGAGGCGAUAGUAGCAACAGUAGGAGUGAGUUUAGAUAGUAGCAACAGUAGUAGUGAGUGAAAAAGUGAACUAUACUAAAGAAUGAGUUGCGCUUGUAAAGUAUACUUGUUCAGGUAAAGAAGUCAGACUUAGCGGGACCAAAAACCUCUUCCCCAAUAAUAACUAUUUCUAUACAAUACCCUGAUCCUGCUUAAGAUCCUGUUGCCAAUGCCAUUAACUUAAGGGCUGCUUGUAAACUAAUACUUAAUUGGAUCUUUCUUGCUCCCGUUAGCGAGUUGAUCUUGAGUUGCCUGUCCCCGAGACUUCUAUUGAUACUUCUCCUACUCCGGACAUACACUUGCUUCUGGUUCAAAGCCUGUCUUAUUACUUUCACCGGAUAGAUUCUUUUCCUUCACUUUACUUUCGAACAUCAUUUCCUAGCACAGAUCCUGAUCCUUAUUUAGCCGACCCGACCUAUCCUUUUCUUUGUUUAGGGUGCUGCUUACGCUCUUUGUACUUGAUCUAGUAUAUGCUUGGUUUGGGCUUUCAAAGUAGUUUCGUGGAGUUCGGUGCUAUAGUAGAAUCCCGGUAGUACUGUUCGAGUUAAGUUCUAGCCUGAAUCCCUAGUUUCCAGUGAGGGUCUUGUUGGGCAGAAGAUGGAUCAAAAGAUAGAGAUGAAAUUCAAAGAGGAGAGUGAGAAACACCCUGGACUACUCCGCAUAUAGUAAUAGAACUAUCAUACCUAGCUAAUUCUACUACUCCGAGACUCAUUAAUAAGAAGAGAGGCCAAGCAACAAUAGUAGUCAAGAGGAAAGAAAAGAAAGGAGCGCAGAGGAAGGGGCGAGGAAACUCAGAGCAGAGAAGGAAAGCGCACGGGAAGAGGAAGCAGCAAACUCAGGCGCUUGGAACGUAAAGCAGUAAACAUUGGUUUAGGGAGAAUUCACCGUAAAGCUAUCAUCAGCAAAAGAGUGAAGCGGGAAGAAGUAGGUUUCAUAUAUAAGGAAAAGAGAGAAAUUGCGAGAGAAAGCAAGCUAGAAUACUCAAUAAGUUUGCAGCGGUUUGUCAGGUUCGUUUAGCUAUUAGCAAGUGUGAAGUCUGUCUCAAGAAGCAACGAGGAAUCCACUUUGAUUUCAAUUGUUCAGUACGAAAAAAAGGGAGACCCCCGCGUGGGAAAGUUUCUUAGUGACAUUUGUAAAUGAAUAGCAAAGAUACCAACAAUAAUGUCCCUACCACAUAGUGUUGUUGUAAAGGUGGCAAAGAGAUCUCCGCAGCGAGAGGCAGCACGGUAUUUGUUCCUUUUGAGAGUCUGUCUCCCUUUGGUAAAAUAGGGUUGGCCAGAUAGAGAGAGGGACCGAGCGCCCGAAAGAGAGGGACCCGGACACAGGACUUCCCGCUGUGCUUACUUUCUCUCUACAGCAGAAAAUCGACUUGCUCUUCAUCUUGGCACUCGUAAACAAGACUUGCUCUUCACUCGGGUUUCUUGCUUAGCUCUUGUAAUUCCACUUGUAAGUAUAAGGCAUUUGGCAAUAAUUGAAUGAAAAGAUGCUAGUAAACAGGUGAACUCAGGAAUAGUGCUCCUAUCCAGCCUUUCAGAAUGCGGACUCUGUGGAUGCUGACUUAGCGGUUGCUUGAGAUGAGAUGAGAGCCUGAGAUGAGGUCGGCAGGAGCUAUGGCCAAGUCCUGUCUUCGUAGAUGUUUUCGUACGAAGUUAUUACAAUAUAUGUUUUCGAUGGCAAACUCAUAGGUGAAAUAAACACUUAGUUCUAUCUGUAGGAGCGCUAGUUUGAAACCAAGGAAUAGAAGAAUCGAGGUUUAACAUGCAUAAUGGAAUUAAUGUAACAUAAGUGUAAGCCUAGAGGCAGGGACGUAAGAAGGAUCGACAUACUUAAUAAUAGGAACAUAGGAUCCGGGUAUCUAUUGCGAGUGUUGCUAUCAGCGGGGUCAUUCCAAGUUGCUUGUUUCUUCUUUAGUUCCCCAGGAAUACAGCCUCGCUUUAGCUAAUUGAGUUCUUGUUAUCCGUGUUUGGAUUCCCUAUUUCUAUAGGUUGGUUCUGUAUAGUAGUAGAUGGAUUCCUCUUUCUGUCCUUAGUUGGCUUCUCAGUUGAAAGUCUUAAUCAAAGGGGCGUAGUUGGAGACUUCAAGCAAGGUGGGUGAGACUUAGAUGAAGUAGUAGCGGACCUCUUACCUUUUAUUAGAACUAGUAGACAGUAGAGUAAGCCUGAGCAGUGUGGUUAAGUAGGGUAAGCAUUGGUUCCAUUCCCAGUUUUCAGGUGGUUUAGUUAUAAUGUCUCUUGUUGCAGUGUCUCGCUUUUGAUAGUGGAGUUCUUUAGCUCCGUUUUCAUUAUUACCGGUAAUAGCAGCACAAUAAGAUAAAGCACAGUCUCAGUUUGGGAUAAAGCAGUGCCAGACCAGACCGAUGGAAGGGCUGUUUGGUGGAGUCAGGGUAGUAAGCCUAGUGGGCGGGAGCCGCAGGCUGAGAUAAAGCAAAGCAAGGUUUUACGUCAUUAGCGGAAGAGUUAGCUUAGGGCAUACGCCUUGUUAACAAUAGGGAGAUUCUAGCGGGAGUCCACAACAAACAAAGACUUCUAUUUAAGAGUUGGAGACACGGAAGGCAGCUAACGAAUAUCCGUUUUAGAGCUAGGAUUGAUUACCAGAAAUAGAGUUAGGAGUACCGAGUGAGAUAAAGGGCCAAGCAACAGUACUAGACUUCGGUCAAUCGGUGGUCUAGUUCCAUUCCUUUACUUAAUAGUUCCAUUCCUUAUUCUUAGGUUGGACUAGUUCAUUCGUCGACUUCCGUACUUAUAGCUUCCUAGCCCAGCUGCUUCUCUCGUAGACCUAAAUCCACUCCCUUACCUUACACAGGACUUGGACCACUACUUGGGACUGUAAACUGGGGCUGUAAACCUAGCUCCUGCUUAUAUCUCUAACCUAACCUAUAUCCUAAUUCUGUUUCUUCGGGUUUCCUAUAUAUAGAGAAAUACGGAAUUUAGGAGUGGACAUGCGGACUGAGGUGAUAGAUUGACUACUUGCUUAACACAAGCACCCGACCUAUACAUUACUUCUAAGCCAACUACUACUGAUUCACAACAGGACUACUAUACUUAAUGAGCACUUCCACUAUCACUCGAGCAGGACUACCCGGGAUUUUGGAUAGCAAAUGGAGAAUCUCUCCUCGGAUCUAGCCUCUGAUCUUGCUCUUCUAACUCUCCCUAGCUACGAACCUAGACAAUUAAGUCAAACUUGAAACUACACUUUCUACUUUCCCUCGCCCUGGAAAUCUAUCUACUUAAGGACUGACUGCUGAAGAUACUGAUGUCUCAACUCGCCCCCCCAAGAGACUCCUACCACUUAGUGACCGCAACUCUGGCUCUUCUCACUACAAACCCUUACUUAUUAAAGCUGCUUGUACCGGUCCCAUAUUCUCGAUUGACUCAUCGCUUCCCACAAGCAAACUUACAAUAAGGGCCUCUCCUCUGGACUAGCUUGCCUACCUCAACUCUCAAGUCAGAGUUUAACUCACACCUAGGAAUACGGAAUUACAGAAUUGCACUAAGUAGUCAAAUCCAUCUCUUUGAACUCUUCUUAUCUUCAGCGGAGUGCUUUAAGCUGUUGUUCAGUCUGGAAUAGAUGUGUUUGACUCCUAUCUUUGAUUUUCUUAUUCAUGUGAAUGGAAUCCCAGUCCUACACAAGAAGAAAGGCCUUGGCUCUUUAAAGUCAGGCGUUAGAUACUUGUUUUCUAUGUGAAGUAAGUACGCUUGUAUGAUAACGAUACCAAAAAGAAGAGUUCCCGGCCCAGCAACUAGGCCUUGGCCGCUCUAUCAGUUUCCUUUCCUUACAACACUGGCACACAAAGGGAUUCUUCUUAUAGUAGCCUGUUUUUCAUUGAGUGUCAUUCUUAUGAGAUAUAGGUUACGGUGCAUUCUUAUAAGAUAUAGAUAGGCCAGGGGACAGCCCAUAAUUAGAGUGCUAUGUCUUUACUGGAUUUCUUUAUAAAUAAUAAAUAUAAGAUUCCUUUCUUAACCCCGCAAAGUCAGUAAACCACCCAUCUUAAUCAUAUAGACCAAGUAAGUAAGUAAGUAAAGGAUAGUUAGUAUAAGUAUGAGUAUCCUUAGCAACCGUAGUUCUCAUAUGACCAAUUACCAGAGUAAGAGUUUACCUCCCUCUUUGCCCAGCCUCAUAAGGAUCUGGAUCCCAGUCCUGUUUCCGCUACUCUGACUUCCCUUUCCACUCCCCUUAUAUACAAGUUCUAGGAAAACCCAUCUAAAUUCUAUCUUUGAAUAUAAUAUAACUGAUUCAACCUUACUCCUAGAGAUCCUGGACUCUGCAACUUACAAUAAGGGCCGAAGAAGUUGAUACCUUCUUUACCUACCCGUGCCUCUACCUACUCCUCUAGACUAUCUUCUUGCCACAACUCGUGUAUACUCGGUUAAGCCUUACCUCUGUCAACUAACUACUACUGAGAAAACAGCUGACCUUGCAGACCUCCUAAACAGCUUCCCUAAGGCUUAUCAACUAGAUCCAUCCCUUAUGCAAACCUAUAUUUGCCGUAAGCCGCUAGUGCUCUGUAAACUCACACUGAUUCCUCUGUCCACUACUACUUAUUCACAACUGGUUUCACUCUUGCCCUGACUGGUUGCAUUGUUUGACUACUGAGUUUCACUCUUUAAUGAGUUAGCUCAAUUCUAACUUCCCUAAUAGCUGACCUCUGAGUGGAAUUCUGAUCUGAGCAGCUAUAGCAGCAGCUGCAUUCUCUGUUGUACGAGUUUCAGUCUGAUUGUUAGGCUUACUACCCCUACUUUAGCACUGGAACUGGGGCAGCAGACUUAACUCGAGUCAUCGAAACCCUUGUUUUUUCAUAGCACCCCCGUUUUCCCUACAAGAUCACCCAAAAUGACUUCUUUUUUGAUGAAACCCCGGGCCAAGCAACUUCUAACGUUGCGCUAAGGAGCUACUCCAUUCCCACUCCGAUCCGACCUAAACUAUGGCUCUGUACUUUUGAUAAAGAUUCUAUUGAACACUUAGAAAUCACAGAAUUCACUGACCAUUGAUUAUAGUGCGCACUACCUUCGUAUACUGAUCUUUCAAGCUCUAAUUCCCCUUUCGCAUUAAGUACUUACGACUUUGUCGACUUUGCCAGGUAAGGUUAGCCAGGUCAGCGGGGUAUAACUGUAAACUCUAUUUUCUUCAGUGGUUUCAUAUAUAAAGAGAGUCCAAGUUAUCCGCCAAGGAACAUAGUAAGUGUAGUGG